UUUUUUUUUGCUUUUUUUUUUUUUUUUUUGAGAUGGGAUCUCACUCUGUCAUCCAGGAUCAGUUGCAGUGGUAUAACUAUGACUCAAUGCAGCCUUGAUUUCCUGAACCCAAGCAAUCCUCCCACAACAGCCUCACAAGUAGCUGGGACUAUAGGUGCACACUACAACAUCUGGCUGGCUUUUUCUUUCUGUGGAGAUGGGGUCUUUCUAUUUAUCCCACACUGGUAUGUAACUCCUGAGCUCAAGUGGUCCUCCUGCCUCAGGCUCCCAAAGUUCUGGGAUUACCAACACAAAUCACUGUACUCAGCCUUUUUUUUUUUUUUUUCCUAAUACACAUUAAAUGCUUAACUGUUUAACAAACAAAAUGUUGUUCAGGUAUCUUCUAAAAAUCAUCUCUCAUACCAACAGUGGUAGACUUACCAAGUUUUGGGAACAUUAAAGUGUUUAUUCCAGAUGGUACUAAAAUUUAAUAAGUAAAACACACACACAAAAACUCCAUUUCUAUAAUAAAAAUCACUGGACUAAAUUUGGAUGAGAAUUUACACUUCUGAGAUAGCAGCAUUUUCUAGCUAAAAUCUCUUCCCAUUCAAAGUGUCUACUAGUCCUAUGAAAAUUAUAAAAUGAAUGAAUAUUUAUUUUCAAUGAAUGGGUCCUCUCAGUACUCAUUUGUCAGGUAAAAAUGACAGCAAGCUUACCUCAAACCCCAGCAUAAAGAAUUGCCAGCCACAUUAUUGUGGAAAGAGGUGUGAUCACUGAAAUAGAUUGCAUUGAGACAAAACACAUGGCCUGGCACCUCUCAGUGUAUUAAUCCACUCUCACACUACUAUAAAUAAAUCCCUGAAACUGGGUAAUUUAUAAAAAAAAAUAGAGAUUUGAUUGGCUUAUGGUUCUUUCUGCUGUAUAGGAAGCAUUUUGUCUUCUGCUUCUGGGGAGGCCACAGGAAACUUCCUAUCAUGGCAGAGGGCAAAGGGGGAGCAAGUUACUUCACAUGGCCAGAGCAGGAGGAAGUGGGAGGGGAUGGUGUUACACAAUUUUAAACAACCAGAUCUCAUAAUAACUCAUUCAUUUACUAUCAUGAGUACAGCAUCAAUGACAUGGUGCUAACCAUUCAUGAAGGACCACCCGCAUGAUCCAGUCACCUUCCAAUAGGCCCCACCUCCAACAUUGGUGACUACAAUUGAACAUGAGAUUUGGGUAAGGACACAAAUCCAAAGUGUAUCUUACCACCCCUUACCCCUCCCAAAUCUCAUGUCCUUCUCACACUGCAAAAUAUAAUCAUGCUUUCCAAAUAGUCCUCCAAAGUCUUAACUCAUUUGAACAUUAACUCAAAAGUCCAAAGUUCAAAGUCUCAGCUGAGACAAGGCUAGUCCCUUUCAACUAUGAGCCUGUAAAAUCAAAAGCAAGUUAGUUACUUCCAGGAUACAAUGGGAGUAUAAGCAUUGGGUAAAUACUCUUAUUCUAAAAUGGAGAAAUCAGCCAAAAGAAAGCUGCUACAGGUCUCAUGAAAAUCUGAAACCCAGCAGGGCAGUCAUUAAAUCUUAAGCUCCAAAGUAAUCUCCUUUGAAUCUUUGUCCCACAUCCAGGGCACACUGAUGCAACAAGUAGGCUCCCAAGACCUUCGGCAGCCCAAUUUCUGUGGCUUUAUAGGCUUCAACUUCUGCAGCUGUUCUCAUGGGCUGGCAUUGAGUGCUCAUGGCUUUUCCAAGCACAAGGUGCAAGUUUCUGGUGGAUCUGCCAAUCUGAAGUUUGGAGGAUGGUGGUCUUCUUCUCACAGAUCCAUUAGGAAGUGCCAGAUUUGGGACUCUGUGUGGGGGCUCCAACCCCACAUUGCCCCUCUACAUUGCUCUAGUAGAUAUUCUACCUUGAGGGCUCAACCCCUGCAACAGGCUUCUGCCUGGACAUCAGGCUUUUCCAUACAUCCUCUGAAAUCUAGGUAGAUGCUCCCAAGCUUCAACCCUUGCAUUCUGUAGUGGGGGCAUCCACAAGCUUAACACCACUUGGAAGCUUCCAAGGCUUAUGACUUGUACUCUCUGAGGCAGUGGCCCAAGCUGUACCUGGGGUCCUUUGAGCCAUGUGUAGAGCUAGAAAGGCUGAGAUGCAGGGAGUAGUGUCCAAGGCUGUGCAGGGCAGUGGGGCCAUAAGCCUGGCCCAUGAAACCAUUCUUCUUUCUUAGGCUUCUGGACAUGUGAUGGGAGGGGCUGCCACAAAGUUCUGUGAAAUACCUUUGAGGCCUUUGUCACAUUGUCCUGGUUAUCAGCACUUGACUCCUUUUUACUUAUGCAAAUUUCUGCAGCUUGCUUAAACUCCUUCCCACACAAUGGGCUUUUCUUUUCUACCACAUAGCCUGGAUGCAAAUUUUCCAAACUUUUACACUCUGCUUCCCUUUUAAAUAUAAGUUCUGACUUCAGAUAAUUUCUUUACUGCUUAGAAAUUUCUUCCAGAAGAUACCCUACCUAAAUAAUCUCUCAGGUUUAAGUUCCACAGAUCCCUAGGGCAGGAGCAUAAUCUAACCAAGCUCUUUGUCAAGGUGUAAAAAAUAUGACCUUUGGUCUAGCUCUCAAUAAGUUACUCAUCUCCAUCUGAGACCUAAUCAGCCUGGACAUCUUCAACCAUAUCACUAUCAGCAUUUUGGUCACAACCCUUCAACAAGUCUCUAGGAAGUUCCAAACUUCCCCUCUUCUUCCUGUAUUCUUCUGAGCCCUCCAAACUCUUCCAACCCCUGUCCAUCAUCAAGUUCCAAAACUGCUUCCAAAUCAAUCUUUAUAGCAAUUCCCCAAUCAUCGAUACCAAUUUUCUGGGUUAGUCCAUUCUGGCACUGCUAUAAAAGGAUGCCGGAGACUGGGUAAUCUAUAAAGAAAAGAGGCUUAAUUGUCUCAUGGUUCUCUGCAGGCUGUACAAGAAGCAUUGUGGCUUCUGCUGCUGUGGAGGCCUCAGAAAACUUCU
ensembl:lncRNA